rnacentral:rRNA from 1 species
GACGAACGCUGGCGGCGUGCUUAACACAUGCAAGUCGAACGGAAAGGCCCCUUUGGGGGUCCUCGAGUGGCGAACGGGUGAGUAACACGUGAGUAACCUGCCCUUGACUUCGGGAUAACUUCAGGAAACUGGGGCUAAUACCGGAUAGGAAUCCUUGCUGCAUGGUGGGGGUUGGAAAGCUUCGGCGGUUUUGGAUGGACUCGCGGCUUAUCAGCUUGUUGGUGGGGUAGUGGCUUACCAAGGCUUUGACGGGUAGCCGGCCUGAGAGGGCGACCGUCCACAUUGGGACUGAGAUACGGCCCAGACUCCUACGGGAGGCAGCAGUGGGGAAUAUUGCACAAUGGGCGGAAGCCUGAUGCAGCAACGCCGCGUGCGGGAUGACGGCCUUCGGGUUGUAAACCGCUUUCAGCAGGGGCGAAGCUUGUGGUGACGGUACCUGCAGAAGAAGCACCGGCUAACUACGUG